rnacentral:rRNA from 1 species
CUACGGGUGGCUCCAGUGGGGAAUAUUGCACAAUGGGGGAAACCCUGAUGCAGCCAUGCCGCGUGUAUGAAGAAGGCCUUCGGGUUGUAAAGUACUUUCAGCAGUGAGGAAGGGUGAUAAAUUAAUACUUUAUCAUUUUGACGUUAGCUGCAGAAGAAGCACCGGCUAACUCCGUGCCAGCAGCCGCGGUAAUACGGAGGGUGCGAGCGUUAAUCGGAAUUACUGGGCGUAAAGCGCAUGCAGGUGGUCUGUUAAGUCAGAUGUGAAAGCCCGGGGCUUAACCUCGGAAUCGCAUUUGAAACUGGCAGGCUAGAAUACUGUAGAGGGGGGUAGAAUUUCAGGUGUAGCGGUGAAAUGCGUAGAGAUCUGAAGGAAUACCGGUGGCGAAGGCGGCCCCCUGGACAGAUACUGACACUCAGAUGCGAAAGCGUGGGGAGCAAACAGGAUUAGAUACCCUAGUAGUC